rnacentral:rRNA from 1 species
AAUAUUGCACAAAGGGCGCAAGCCUGAUGCAGCGACUCCGCGUGGAGUAUGACGGCUUUCGGGCCGUAAACUCCUGUCUGGUGGGAUGAAUACGGACAGUACCGCCGGAGGAUGCCCCGGCUAACUUCGUGCCAGCAGCCGCGUUAAUCCGUAGGGGGCGAGCGUUGUCCGGAAUUACUGGGCGUAAAGCGCGCGCAGGUGGCUUGUUAAGUCAGGUGUCAAAAUGCGGGGCUCAACCACGUACCGCACUUGCACCUGGCAGGCUUGAGUGCAGGAGAGGGAAGUGUAAUACCUAGUGUAGCGGUGAAAUGCGUAGAUAUUAGGAGGAACACCAGUGGCGAAGGCGACUUCCUGGACUGUAACUGACACUGAGGCGCGAAAGCUAGGGGAGCAAAC